rnacentral:rRNA from 1 species
AAGCUUGUAUGAAUGGUAAAAUGAAAAUUUCACUGUCUCUUUAAAAAUUUUAAAAUUUAAUUUGUCAGUGAAGAAGCUUACAUUUUUUUAUAAGACGAGAAGACCCUAAUGAGUUUAAUAUAUAAUAAUUUUAAUAAAAAUAUAUAUUUAAUUGGGGUAAUUUAAGAAAAUAUUUUCUUAAAAAAGAAUUAACUAUUAGUCCCAUUAUUAAUGAUUAUUAGUAAAAAUUACCAUAGGGAUAACAGCAUAAUCCUUUUUAAGAGUACUUAUCGACAAAAUGGGUUGUGACCUCGAUGUUGGAUUAAGAGAAUUCUAUAAUGUAGUAAUUAUAAAAAUAAGUCUGUUCGACUUUUAAAAUCUUAC